rnacentral:rRNA from 1 species
GCGGCAAUUCCAGCUCCAAUAGCGUAUAUUAAAGUUGUUGCAGUUAAAAAGCUCGUAGUUGAAUUUCGGGGUUCUACCGUUGGUCGGGCAAUAGUCUGUACUGGCGUGUAGAAUUUCUACCUUCUGGGGAACCAUCAUGUUAUUUAUUUAGCGUGGUGGGAAACCAGGACCUUUACCUUGAAAAAAUUAGAGUGUUCAAAGCAGGCUUACGUCUGAAUACAUUAGCAUGGAAUAAUAAAAUAGGACGGUGGUCCUGUUUUGUUGGUUUCUGAAUCACCGUAAUGAUUAAUAGGGAUAGUUGGGGGCAUUAGUAUUCAAUUGUCAGAGGUGAAAUUCUUGGAUUUAUUGAAGACUAACUUCUGCGAAAGCAUUUGCCAAGGAUGUUUUCAUUAAUCAAGAACGAAAGUUAGGGGAUCGAAGACGAUCAGAUACCGUCGUAGUCUUAACCAUAAACUAUGCCGACUAGGGAUCGGACGAUGUUAAUAGC